AUUGAACGCUGGCGGCAGGCUUAACACAUGCAAGUCGAGCGAGCGGCGGACGGGUGAGUAAUGUCUGGGCAACUGCCUGAUGGAGGGGGAUAACUACUGGAAACGGUAGCUAAUACCGCAUACCAUCAGAUGUGCCCAGAUGGGAUUAGCUAGUAGGUGGGGGAAUGGCUCACCUAGGCGACGAUCCCUAGCUGGGCUGAGAGGAUGAGCCGCCAACAUGGAGCUGGGGACCGGGCCAGACUCCUACGGGAGGGAGCAGUGGGGGAUUUUUCACAAUGGGAGGAAGCCUGAUGCAGCCAUGCCGCGUGUGUGAAGAAGGCCUUCGGGUUGUAAAGCACUUUCAGCGAGGAGGCGUGACUCGCAGAAGAAGCACCGGCUAACUCCGUGCCAGCAGCCGCGGUAAUACC
rnacentral:rRNA from 1 species